rnacentral:rRNA from 1 species
CUGGCAUCGGUUAAAUAUUAAAGAUUUAUUGGUAUAAGAUGGGCAUGCGUCCAAUUAUUUANUUGGUGGGGUAAUGGCUCACCAAGACAAUGAUUGGUAGGGGAACUGAGAGGUUAAUCCCCCACACUGGCACUGAGAUACGGGCCAGACUCCUACGGGAGGCAGCAGUAGGGAAUAUUGGGCAAUGGAGGCAACUCUGACCCACCCAUGCCGCGUGCAGGAUGAAGGCGUUAUGCGUUGUAAACUGCUUUUAUAUAAGAAAAAACAGACCUUGCGAGGUAAAUUGACGGUACUAUAUGAAUAAACACCGGCUAACUCCGUGCCACCAGCCGCGGUAAUACGGAGGGUGCAAGCGUUGUCCGGAUUUAUUGGGUUUAAAGGGUGCGUA